UCCCUGGUGGUCCAGUGGUGAGGAUUCUGCAUUUUCACUGCUGAGUCCGUGGGUUCGAUCUCUGGCCAGGGAA
rnacentral:tRNA from 1 species